rnacentral:rRNA from 1 species
AACUCAAAGGAAUUGACGGGGACCCGCACAAGCGGUGGAUGAUGUGGUUUAAUUCGAUGCAACGCGAAAAACCUUACCCACCUUUGACAUGUACGGAAUCCUUUAGAGAUAGAGGAGUGCUCGAAAGAGAGCCGUAACACAGGUGCUGCAUGGCUGUCGUCAGCUCGUGUCGUGAGAUGUUGGGUUAAGUCCCGCAACGAGCGCAACCCUUGCCAUUAGUUGCUACGAAAGGGCACUCUAAUGGGACUNCCGGUGACAAACCGGAGGAAGGUGGGGAUGACGUCAAGUCCUCAUGGCCCUUAUAGGUGGGGCUACACACGUCAUACAAUGGCUGGUACAAAGGGUUGCCAACCCGCGAGGGGGAGCUAAUCCCAUAAAGCCAGUCGUAGUCCGGAUCGCAGUCUGCAACUCGACUGCGUGAAGUCGGAAUCGCUAGUAAUCGUGGAUCAGAAUGUCACGGUGAAUACGUUCCCGGGUCUUGUACACACCGCCCGUCACACCAUGGGAGCGGGUCUCGCCAGAAGUAGGUAGCCUAACCGUAAGGAGGGCGCUUACCACGGCGGGGUUCGUGACUGGGGUGAAGUCGUAACAAGGUAGCCGUAAAGGGCGA